ensembl:misc_RNA 7SK 7SK RNA
UGAUGUGAGGGUGAUCUGACUGCAACAUCUGUCACCCCAUUGAUCGCCAGGGUUGAUUUGGCUGAUCUGACUGGCUAGGCGGGUGUCUCCUUCUUCCCUCAACAAUCCAUGUGCAUCCCUUCCAAAGCUUCAACGUUCAGUCGAAGAGGAUGACCACCCCCAUAGAGGAAGACGUUCCUCGGUCAAGGGGAUAGGAGUAGCUAUGCUCCCCUGCUAGAACCUCCAAACAAGCUCUCAAGAUGAGAUCCCAGUUGUUGAUUCUUUGUAAUAGUUCCUGUGCAAUCGGGAUUUUGUUCAUAAAGUCUUUGCCUACACCAUUGUCUUCAAGAGUUUUACCUAUUUUAUCUUCCAGAAGAUUUAAUGUUUCU